rnacentral:rRNA from 1 species
ACUCCUACGGGAGGCAGCAGUGGGAAUAUUGGACAAUGGGGGAACCGUGCAUCCAGCCAUGCCGCGUGUGUGAAGAAGGCCUUAUGGUUGUAAAGCACUUUAAGCGAGGAGGAGGCUACUGAGACUAAUACUCUUGGUAUAGUGGACGUUACUCGCAGAAUAAGCACCGGCUAACUCUGUGCCAGCAGCCGCGGUAAUACAGAGGGUGCGAGCGUUAAUCGGAUUUACUGGGCGUAAAGCGUGCGUAGGCGGCCAUUUAAGUCAAAUGUGAAAUCCCGAGCUUAACUUGGAAUUGCAUUCGAUACUGGAUGGCUAGAGUAUGGAGAGGAUGGUAGAAUUCCAGGUGUAGCGGUGAAAUGCGUAGAGAUCUGGAGGAAUACCGAUGGCGAAGGCAGCCAUCUGGCCUAAUACUGACGCUGAGGUACGAAAGCAUGGGGAGCAAACAGGAUUAGAUACCCUGGUAGGCUCUG